rnacentral:rRNA from 1 species
UACGUAGGGUGUGAGCGUUGUCCGGAAUUAUUGGGCGUAAAGAGCUCGUAGGCGGUCUGUCGCGUCUGCUGUGAAAACUCGGGGCUUAACCCCGGGCCUGCAGUGGGUACGGGCAGACUAGAGUGCGGUAGGGGAGACUGGAAUUCCUGGUGUAGCGGUGAAAUGCGCAGAUAUCAGGAAGAACACCCGUGGCGAAGGCGGCUCUCUGGGACGGUACUGACGCUGAGACGCGAAAGCGUGGGGAGCGAACAGG